AACUAGUAAUAAGGGCGAAACGACCUGUUACCAUAUUAUUUUGUUAACUGCAAACUUAAACAUUUCAUCAAUGUGUUAUAUAACAAAAUAUCAGAGUGAAAGGAUUUAUUAGAAAUUACUCCUGUGAUGCAGAAGCCCUUGCCGAAGUGAUGAUAGCUGAGUACCUCGCCCCUGGUUUCAUUGAAAACUGGUCUGGUAGACGUGUUCAGAGUAACGCUUCCCGCCGAGGCCAAUUGUUCGAUUGGUAUCACGGUUCAUCGAAAAGGCACCGUGACACUAGCUGUACUUGAAAGACUUUUACCGAUAGCUGCUGGCUGAACACACAACAUGACAGGCUGGUGCCAGAGGGGACAGCUUUCGUGGUCAUGUGACAUGACCAUAAUGGAAAAGGGCCAAAGUUCCUUGUUCUUGGUGUGGAUCUCACACAAGGCAUUCCACUCUAGUCACCGAGCAAUCAACACCGAGUUACUCGAGCCAUCUUAAGGUUUGGACUCUGGUCGUGUGGGGUAAGUGAUACUGGCAUCAUUACAUAUUAGUUUGUUCAUUCAUAUUAUGCUUUUACAGAUAUGUAUAUUAUAAUUUUCAUAAUUUGUACUUAAAUGGUACAUAUGUGAUCAGUCAUUUUUAUAAACGAAUGUCCAAGUAGACAGUACAAAACCUGUAUUUAGUGGACACAUAUUUAGUAUGCUUUUAAAUAGAGGUGCCCUUUUUAGUAAAAGGCUCAUCUCUGUACUUAUUUGAAUAAUUAGUAUUAGAAUAUUGCAUACAUAUGUAUUCAUUAACGAGGUUAAUGGUUUGAUUAUUGUAAAUUUUUAUGCUGGGAUAAAAUAUAUUAAAGACAUUGUUAGUAUUGAAAGGAAAGAGCUGAGUUAGUGAGCAAAAUAUAUUUUAUCACCAAAUGAUCACACAUGUAAACGAUUACUGCAAGGGAACAGUUGGUAUUUAGCCUCUCUCUCUCUCAGUAGGGGAUUAUGGUGUGUGUCCUAAUUAGCACCAACAGCUCUAACUCUAAGAGAACAAAGCACUUGGAAUUUUGGGAAAUAGUCAGAAUGACCGGGGGGGGGGGGGGGGGG